AACGAACGCUGGCGGCAUGCCUAACACAUGCAAGUCGAACGAGCUCUUCGGGUCUAGUGGCGCACGGGUGAGUAACGCGUGGGAAUCUGCCCUUUGGUUCGGAAUAACAGCUGGAAACGACUGCUAAUACCGGAUGAUUCCGAAAGUCCAAAGAUUUAUCGCCAGAGGAUGGGCCCGCGUAGGAUUAGCUAGUUGGUGUGGUAAAGGCGUACCAAGGCGACGAUCCUUAGCUGGUCUGAGAGGAAGAUCAGCCACACUGGGACUGAGACACGGCCCAGACUCCUACGGGAGGCAGCAGUGGGGAAUAUUGGACAAUGGGCGAAAGCCUGAUCCAGCAAUGCCGCGUGAGUGAUGAAGGCCUUAGGGUUGUAAAGCUCUUUUACCCGGGAUGAUAAUGACAGUACCGGGAGAAUAAGCUCCGGCUAACUCCGUGCCAGCCGCCGCCGUAA
rnacentral:rRNA from 1 species